AAAAAUUUUAAAAAAAUUACCAGAAAGUCGGGGGCUGCAGCGAUGUUUUAGGGGUUGAGAGCACUAGCUGCCCUUCUAGAGGACUCACAAGACAGUUUCCAACUGUCUGUAACUCAGGGUAUCUGAAACCCUCACAACAGACAUAAAUUAAUCUAAAAAAGAAAGAACCACAUCAACACUUGAACAGCCUGAGCCCAGAACGAAUUUGCCCCCCCCACACAGUAUAUGCAAAUGCCCCACACAAUGCCCCUCAGUUUACACUCCCCAAAGAAAACUGAAACAAUACAGGGAAAGACGUGGCCCAGAAGGAGCAGGAAAACCCAGGAGUGGUGCAGUCACCUGGUAAAGAGCUGUCUAGCACAUACAGAACGUGGAGUGGCUGUACACAGCUAGGAUCCCAGUAUUGAGGAAAUGACUUGGACUUCAAGGUCUCCCUUGACACGCCAGAAGAGGGCCUGAGAUCUCAUUACAGAUGCUUGUGAGCCACCAUGUGUUGGAUUUGAACUUAGGACCUCGGGAAGAGCAGUGCAGUGCUCUUAACCACUAAGCCAUCUCUCCAGCCCUCCCUCUCCCUUGUAAACCAUAGAUUACAUCCCUAAAGCUAGCUACCAAGGUCUUAUGUUCCUUAUGCCAGACUCAUUCCUAAGGCUGAGAACCAGAGCCCCGCAUGCUAGCCCACUAGCACCCUAGGACAUUCUAACACUGACCCGCUCCUUUUUCCUCCUACAAUCACACCUAUAAGGUCACUUGCUUCUGUUUUCUGCCUGAGUCAAAAAGCAUUUACUUUUCUUCCAGGCUUAAUAAAGGCUGUCUCUGUGAGAGCAGGUGUUUGGGUGUAGGUAGUGUCUAAUCCAGGGUCCAGUCCCUUCAGGAAGGACAGGGUAAACUGUGUACCCUACAGCUCGGUAACAUUCAGCAUAAUUAACAAUAACAAAUAGUAUCCUAUAUCAAAAAAAAAAGGGGGGGGGUUACUUUCUACAGAGGUAUCCAUGGGCAAGUUUAAUGCCUUCCGAAUUUUCUUUUUUCUGGAGACUGAUCUUACAAGUUCUACUGGCAAGUCAGAUUAACUCCCGAGAGUCAUCCAAAAAGUCAAGCGGAAACAUUUACUGAAUCUCGGAUGAGUUAAAUAUCUAUAGUAGUCCCUAGAAAGAGUAGAGAAGUCAAUUCCUGUUAAGGUCAAGGAUCUUUUUAAAGGGUGGUUGGAAAAGGCAAUCACAUAUUUUAGGAACCAUUAACUUGGAAGGUCUUUAGCAUAGACAGAAAAGUCAUGUAGACUGAAGAUUUGGGCAAGACAGGGAAAACCUGAAUGGAGUUUGUGGUCCAGAAAUCAUCUUUUCCUACUACACACAGCACUGAUCUAGGCCUUAGUGUGUGGGUCCUAGCAAAAACCCUACCUCCCAACUUUGGGCUAACUGGAACUGAGCAAACUGUUCUUUGAAUGUCGACUGUAUUCUUCAGAGGAGGAAUGGCCAUGUAAUUCUGGGAAGAUUUAGAAUUAAGUCCAGAAACAAUUUAAGAGCUUUGCUUUAGAAAGCUGUGUGUCCUCCAAAGUUCAUGCUGAAAGUUCAUUCGCAGAGGAGGAGUAUGACCAGGAGCUUUUAGGGGGUUAUUAGGCCGCCGUGGGGGGGGAGGGGCACUGCCCUCAGGGCGGGAUUAACAUCCUUCAAAAGGGGUUUGAGGAGUAGGUCUGCUCCUGGCCUUAUCCCUUCUUAUCCUUUUUACUAAUGAAGACACAGACUGUAUUUACCCUCAUUAUGUAUGUGGUGAGGAGGUGCCAUCCCGGAAGCAGAAAGCAGCUGCCAGUCAGGGGACCAUAAUCUGGAACUUCCCGGCAUUUACAGGUGUAAGAAGUAAAUACCUGUUCUUUGGUUGAUCUGUUGACCAGGCUGGCUUCCAAAUCAGUGACAUCCGCCUGCCUCUGCUAGGAUUAAAGGAGUCAAACAACAGAAAAAUAACUUCACGAACUCCCUGAAACUGGACAGAUUCCGCUAGGCCCCUCCCUGCUACAGGGAACAGAGCUCAGCUUCAAAGACUCAGGAAAGAGCUGUCCGGAAGAGACCUGGAUCAGUGGUGGAACCUGGAAAGGAUGCUCUCCAGCCCGCUGAGCUGCCGGCAGGCUGUGCAGUGGGCUCCAGCUUUCCCCAGCUCCUGUGAGCUGUCACCCAUGCUGGGUGAGCCUCGGUGAUGCCUUUGAGUCAUGGCUGCUACUGUUGAUUGUAACUAACAGAAGAAUAUUUUGGGCAACUGAAAGGUAUAUGGAUUCAAAUUUUGCUUUGAAAAAAAAAUCUACCAGAACUCAGCUGUAUUAGUUACCUUUUCUCUCUUUGACCCGGUACCUGACAAACGCUACCUGAGGGUCGACUUUGGCUCACAGUUGGAAGAGCUACAGUUCACCUCGGUGGGCAGGCACGACCCUAGUGAGACUGUGUCUGUGUCAGGACCCAGAGAGAGAUGAAUCCAGUUCUCAGAUUUGCAUUGUCUUCUUGAUUCAGGCCAGGAGUGGGAUGGAGACACCCUUAUAGACACACCCAACAAUCAAACUGGCAAUGGAGAUGACUAUGACAUUAACCAUGGCGGCUCUUUUGUAUGUUGCCUAUGGUGACUUCUGUGCAACUAUGUCAGUGCUGAAUGGGUUACAACACAUGGUAUACCCAGCCCCUGGGGUAGUUACUACCUGGCCCUUUAUGGAAAAAACGUGCUGGCCUCUGUUGCAGGGGAAGGUUUUCAGGGAGCCUGUUAACUCACUGGAGAUGACUAACAGGAUCAGGAUGAGUUAACAGAGCAUGUGAACAGCCACAGGGAAGGGCUUGCAUGCACCACAACUCGCUGUGGGGCCCUCCCAUUGGCUGUAACUGUGCACUCGCAUGCCUCUGAGCUAUGUGAUUCCUUGGUCUUGUGAGUCUGGAGGAGAGGCUGGCAGAGGGGAAACCUUCCUCCCUCUCCUCCCUUCAUCCUUCUCCUCAGCAGGACUUGGCUCAGCUGUGGCGUUUUCAGUCAGUACUGGGAACCUGGACUUUACUCGGCUCCCACACUGCUACAAACUCCAUAACAUAAGAUUUACUGCCUUGCCCUGUCAGUACGCGUGUGGGGAUGCACACGAUGAUGUGUGAGGUGUAUGGAGAUGUGUUGUGCGCACUGGAAGACUGGGUCAAUGCUCUAGGGUAUCGGGUAUCAUCUCUCACCUCUACCUUUUUGACACAUCAUCUCUUGCUGACCAGCAUCCAUAGAUGCUUUUGCAGACAUGUGUUUUCUCAUGGUCCCUGAGAACUGAACUCUGGUCCUUUUGCCGGUACAGCAAGCUCAGAACCACUGAGCCACCUCUCAGGCCCCAUAUAAACCAUUUAAAAAUUAUCACAUUCAGGGUUGG
rnacentral:sRNA from 1 species